rnacentral:rRNA from 1 species
UACGUAGGGUGCGAGCGUUGUCCGGAAUUAUUGGGCGUAAAGGGCUCGUAGGCGGUCUGUCGCGUCGGGAGUGAAAACUCAGGGCUUAACCCUGAGCCUGCUUCCGAUACGGGCAGACUAGAGGUAUGCAGGGGAGAACGGAAUUCCUGGUGUAGCGGUGGAAUGCGCAGAUAUCAGGAGGAACACCGGUGGCGAAGGCGGGUCUCUGGGCCGAUACUGACGCUGAGGAGCGAAAGCGUGGGGAGCAAACAGG